UAAGGAAGGAAAACUGACAGUUAGGGGCUUUUGUUCUCUGGAUCUUGAGAGAGUAGAAGGUCUGUCUCUGAGGGGCAAGGGACUACUGGCAGUUGGCUACUGACAGUUGGGUGGUAGAAAACUAAUUGAAGGAGUCAUAUCUGAUUAUUUAGAAAGAUAGGUAGUUAGUGAAUCAAUUUUAGAUAGUGUAGGGUAGAGCAGGCCUGGUGUUUGUCAAGCAAGAAGACCCUGUCCUCAGAAGACAGAGCUGCUACCAAAUGUAAAGACCCAGAAUUCCGAAGUACCAAUGGUGAAGCAUGCUACCCUCUUCAUGGAGAAAGCUGAUGGCCUCAAGAUGCAGAAAAAGUAAACGUUUAGGGAUUUAACUCUACUGUUUGUUAUAGGGUUUUUUCUUUUAAUUGGGAGGGGAACCAGGAAAGGAAAGUGGUGAUUAGUGUUGUGACAAGAAUUUAUUUAGUUUCAUUAAGAAUAGGUUUCAAGUAAGAAAGGGUUUGCCCACUUUUAUGCUGCCCCCUUUACGAGGGAAGACACAUCAAAUUUGUAGUGGUCUCUUUAAGAGGCCUAGGAUGAAAGAAAGUCAGUUGGGAGUUCUGGGUCCAGUCUCUGACUUGUUUUGGAGACAGUUGGUGACUAGGUCAUUUUCUGACAGAAAAAGAUCUGAGUGGCUUUAGAUACUUUCUGUUUGAGAGUUGAGAUACAUACUGGAGUAUUUCCUGAGAGCUUUUCCCCUCUGAGCCACAGGGGGGGCUGAAGAGCAGUUUUUGUAACUAGGAGGCAGUUUGCUUUGGAGGGAAGGGGGGAGACUAAUUGUGAGAGGCCUGCUUCUUUGCCUGACUUCUGGAGAGAGAGAAAUUGCUUCAACUUCUCUCUCACGAUUAUAAAAUUACUCUAAGUCACUCUAGGAGUGUCUUGUAUCCUUGAAAGUUCACCGUUUUAGCAUAGCUUCAUCUUUGGUCAGUGCAGGUCCACCUCGGUGGACAAGAAGCAGCUCCGUGAGGAGUCAGCUGGGGAGGUUGUGUUACUUGGAUAAUGCAGUUUAAGGAUUAAUAGAUUUCAUAACUCCUCAUUUCUAUCCUCCUAUUUCCUAUCCAUUCCUCUCCUCCAUAAUAAAUGAGUUGCAUUAGACUGCAUUAGGCCUUCAAUCCACUGUCUGUAGCAUAGGUCAAUAUAUCAGCUUUAAAAUGUAUCAGUAGCAGCUUCAGUUUGAUCCUAACAGUUGCCAUCCAUCCACUGCCUGUGUAUCAGUUUAACCGCUGAUAACUUUAUUAUCCCUAUAACAGCUUGGCCCACCGAAGAUUUCGUUUACUCAUAAUAUUAGAGAGAGUUGCCAAGAAAAAAUAAGAAAAAAGAAAAGGUCACAGAAGCUUUGUUUUUAAAGCAGAGAAGAGAAGGAAGGCUAAAGAAAUCAUCAAUAAGCAGAAGUGCUUUGAAAGUUACAUAUGGAACAUAUAUUUUUUUAAAAAGCGAGUACUGCAAUUUCAUGCUCGUUCUUUUUCUUCAAUAUGUAGGUGGAAAUACCUACUUUAUUUGAUGUUCAGAAUAAGAAAAAAACAACAAUCUAACUCAGUUGACUUUGUUCAAGACAAAUUUAUAGUAUCUAAUCUCACUAGAUUGAUAAUCCUUUUACUCUUCCCCAAUUAAGUUUCUAUCCCUUCCAUCAUGGUGGUAGUUUCAAACUUUUUAUUUUCUCCUAAAAUCUCCCAAAGCAUCCCCUAUUUUUGCCUCAUCCACAACUGGAAAAAUCAAGGCUAAUAUUUAGUAGGAUCUGCUUAUAUUCCCCUACUUUACAAGUCAAAGUCCUUAGCAUUAUCUUCUACUUUCUCCUCCUUUAUUCUAUGGUAGAGUAACCUUCCUCCCUUUCUUUUCUACCCCAUCCCCACCCCAUGAUUCCCAUGGAUGAUUCCCAGAUUUAUAUAUCUAUUAACCCAUUGUUGUACAUUUCAAAUUAUGUCACAUAGCAUUUAAAACUCAGCACAUCUAAAAUCGGACUCUUGAUUUUUCUCUCCAAACUCAUUGCUCUUAUAAACUUGUCUAUAACCAUAAAGAACACCAAUAUCCUUCCAGUUUCCCAGGACCACAACUCAGGAGUCAUACUGAAAUCUCCACUCAAACUAACCCAGACAAAACCAAUCAAUCACAAAGUCUCACAAUUUCUUCCUUUAUAUCUGUCCCCUUCUCUUUACCCAUACAAUCAUCAUCUUAAUGCUCAUCAUUUGUUGCUUGGAUUACUGCAAUAGCUUCCCAACUACUAGUAUUGCCUUAGGUCUUUCACUUUUCCAAACAUCUUUUAGGGAAGUGCCACUUCCCUGGCUUGCCAUUUAAAGCCCUUGAUAAUCUGGAUUCAACCUACCAUUCCAGCCUUAUUACAUAUGCAUAGCACGUUGCACUGUGGUUCUCAAAUUGUGGCCCAGAAGUCCAUUAAGAUCCCCAAAAUCCUCGUGGGGGUCCAUGUGACCAAAGCUAUUGCUUCUAUAAUGUUUUAAUUUCUAAUUACAUGAAUUAAGAAUAAAUAUAACCCACAAAACAAAAGAUUUUAGGAUCUUCAAUAAUUUUUCAAGAGUAUAAAGGGGUCCUAAAACCAAAAAAUUUGAGAAGGGCUACUCAGUACUAUAGCGAAAUCAGCCUACUAGUUGAUCUUCAUAUUACACUCCAUCUCCCAGCUCCAUGCCUUAAAUCUUGCUGGUCUCCUGGAAAGCACUCUCCUUUCACCUCUCCCUCUAUUUUUUACCAAAACUCUGUUCAAGUACUAUCUCCUACAUUUAUGAGCUUUCCUAAUUUUAAUUUCAAGGGCCUCCUCUAAUCCCCCAAUUGCCUAGUAUUUAUUUUGUACAUAUUAUGCUAUCCUCCAGAUAUAACGUAAGCUCCUGGAGGGCAAUACCUAGCAUAGCAUCUGACACAUUUUAGGGAUUUAAUAAAUGUUUGCUUGAAUUUGAGUUCUGUAAAUUACCAACUACUUUUAAGAUCUCAAGUAAACUCCUUAAUCUUUCUAAACCUGCUUCCUCGUCUGCAAAAUAAAGUGCAUUAGACUGUCUCCCAAGUUUCUUCCAACUCUAUAAAUUUCAACUCCAUAAAAUCAUAGACCUAUAAGACAUCUUAAAAGUCAUCUAAUUCAACCCUCUGUUUUACAAAUAAGGAAAAAUGAGACUUGUCCAAUGCCACGCAAGUAGAGCUAAAUUUGGACACUUGGUCUUCCUGAUCCAAACUCAGCACUCUUUCCAUUGCACUUGGUAAUGACAUUCCACAUUUUGCUACCUAUGAAAUACAGAAGUAUUUAACCCUAAAAAAAUGUCUAAGUAUACUGCUUUACCCUAAAGAUUUUUGGUGAGCAGGAUUAUUACCUGUGGCUGGGUUGAUGCUGGCAGCAAUAUGAAAGUGGCAAAGUGCAUUGGCUUGCAGAGGGGUAUUCCUAUGGACCUGAUGAGGAUUCUGCUGAUGUGGGAGGUAGCCAGUAUGUGCUACAAGUGCAAGUGAUCUUCUUCUUCCUUUACGAAAAUGCCUCAGGUUUACCUAUGUGAAUAAGACUGUUUUUAGAGUGCCUUACUUUCAUAAACUACAUGUAUUCUUAAAAUAAUAUUGAUUCUGUGAGCUUUAAAUACAUUGAAAACCGUGUAAUAAAUGCUCAGGAAUCUUCUCUCCUAAAGUGAUUGGCUAUAUUAACUUCCACACUAUUUCUCUAAUUCAUUCCAUUACAUAACUUCAAAAGUUUUAGCUAUGAAAAAAGUAAAAAGAGAAAGUUUACUUCAUUGCUACUUCAGUUCUCUUGCUAAGAUUGCAUUUAUUUUCCUCCAAUCAAUGAGACAACUAAACCAUAACACUCACUUCCAAAGCAUUUUGAACUCGUUCCUUACUGGAAGGAUUCCUCUUGAAGUUAUUUGUUAAAUUUGGGUCAGUCCAGUGGUUAUAGUUUCCUUCAUAUAAAAGACUAUCAUUUGGUAAAAAAGUCUCUACCCAUAGGCGGCACACAUUAUCUUUGCAGCAAGUCAAUAAUACAUUACAAACAGAAGCCCUGUGGAAGAAAACAAUAUUAAGAAUCCAAAUCCAGUGCAGAAAAUUAACAUGGUAACUAGUAUUACUUAAAUGUACAUUCAAUUUUUAAAGUACUAAUGAAGAAAAGUUUACAGCAAAUAUAAAGCAAUACUACUGUUGAGUUUAUAUCCCAAGGUCCAUAUUGGCCUCACUCUUUAUAUAGGCAUUUAAAUCUUUUCUGCCUCUCAAAUUUUAUAUUUACAUUUAUCUCCAAAGUAAGCAAAGAAGUCAUUAUGCAUAGUGUCUUCAGAUGCUAUUCAUACAACUGAAAAACUAAUUACUGACCUAGGCAUAUAUUUGCUGGUCUUCCGCCAGGAAAAUCCAUUUACAGCUCUAGGAUGUGCCAGGUAAACAAAUGAAAAGUCAACCUCGCCUCCUUGUGUUUGCUUUUCUGGACCUAUAUCUUGAGAGGUAACUGUUGAUCGCCAGUUGUCUGUAUUAUACCACACUUUCAAAAGGCAGUCAUCCUAAGGAAAAAAAAAUAGAAUGAAUAAUACAACCAAAAGAAGAAGGUGAAAAUCAUUCUUUUUAGAUUAGAAUCACAAGGUUUAAUUUUAUUUUAGAGAAGUUAAAAUGAUAUUUUUUUAUAAAUCUUUUUAUUUUGAAGUACUUAUGCUAAACUGAGAUGUUCUUUUCUAUCAGUUUUGUAAUUUUCUUUAAAGGAUGUUUUUUAAAAAUCCCAAAAUAAUGUCUAAUGGUACGAGUAUCCGAGUCCAUUAGGAUGACCCAAUAAUAAUUGAAGAUGUGCUUUAAGGUUAACAAGUACUUUUAUUUGCUCUUUUUCAUCUGUGUUCCAUUCCAGGGAACAAACUCCCUCUUAUCAAUAUAGAAUGGCAACUAUUCUGCAAUUUAUAGUAUUAGACAGUUGCCUCAUUUUUAGUGGUUCAGGUAAUUUUUAUCUCUAUUUUGCAAAUGAGAAAACUGAGACUCAAAGAGGUUACAUGAUUUAUCAUUUGGUCAGUAAAUAAACAUUUAUUAAGCACUUACUAUGAGCUAAGGGUGAAUAAAAGACCAAAUGAGGGUUUUUUUAAGGAUGUAAGCAGAUGGGUAUGUUUGUGAAGAUGGAAAGGAGGCAGUAGAGGGAAUGAUUAAAGAUAAAGACAAAAUGGGAAUGAUAAAAGGGGCAAUUUAUAAGAAAGAAUGAGAUGGAAAAGAAUCAUUUGAGCAGGAAAAGGGGUUAGCCUUGGUAAGGAAUAAGACCACCUCAUCAUACAAGACAGGGAUGAAAGAGGAGUUAGUGGCAGAGGCAUCUGAGUGAGAUGACAUGAAGAGGAGAGAACUCGGAGCAAAUGGCCUAAUUUUUUCUGUAAAAUGUGAUAAGUUGAUAAAGGAGGUAUAUUUGUAUCAUCUAGCAACACUAAGGACCCAUUUAAGGUAAUAUACAAAUUUGUAGUGGAUCCAGUCAGAAUAACUGUAUGAUUUCCUAUACCUUCAUUCAACAGCACAAGUGUAGAUACAAAGGCAACAGAUGAUGGGGGUGAUACAAAGCUAAGGCUGAGUAAGGCCCAAUGGGUUAUUAUGGGGACUAAAAUCUCAAGAAGACAAUGUAGAGUUCAACUGGUUCACUAAGGGGUCAAAAUAAAGAAGAGGAGAGAGUGACUAGAGAAGGGAUGAUGUCCUGGGAGCAAACUGAGCAAACUGGGAGCAAACAAGUCAUUGAAGGUCAUAGUGCUUUAGGGGGGGUGAUAAGAGAAGGCAGAAGAAAAGGUAGAAACCAAAAGAUUAUGGUCAGAUAAGCAUGCAGAGGACAAUAGAAAGUGAGGGCCAGAAUGUAAAAUCAAGUCUUCUAUCUCUAUGUUAAGAGCUCUGUCCUCUGCACUACAAUGUAAUAUGAAGUAAUAGACUUUCCCUCCACCCAAUUCAUUUCUUCUGAAGUAAUGAAGCAGUAUUUACUCAUAGGCACAUGUUCCUAAAGUUUAAGGACAGGAAAGCUUUAGAAGGCUUAGAACUAUUAAAGAAACUUAUAUGAAACAAAUAAAAUUAGGUAAAUGUAUAUUAAUAUUUAGACAAUUUUCCAUUAAAUUAAGUGACCAUCUGAAACAAAAAUAUUUCAAAAAUAGCUGAGUCUAUAUUUGAACUAAUAUUGAUAGAUACUGUGAGAUUUAAAAUGGUUGAGGUCUUAAACUGUAGUGAUUAAAAUAGUGGAAGAUAUAAAUUGUGAUAGAUAUAAGAGAGGGUGAGUAAAUUUGACCGCAGAAAUAUGUUUCACUACAGUGUCUUGGGUUUUAAAAUCAAAUAUAAGGUGGUUGCCAGGGAAA